CGUGGGUGCGGAGGGGGCUGUAGGUGGCCCCUGUCCAGAGCCCCGGGCCAGGGUGCUUCCGAUCACAGUGGCGGCCGCGAAGUGGACCCCUCCCUCACCUCCGGAAUGACGCAGGGGGUGCUCUCCAGGAUCACGUCCCCUUCAGUUUCUGCGUACUUUUGGCUGCCAUCCUGUGGGAGGUUGGUAUGCAACGAGCUCCUCCCCAUUGCCAGCAGAACUGUCUGACUUCCUUCAGUCUAUACUUGCUCCUUAGGUUAGUUCUCCCGUCCUCAUAAAUAACACAACGUUUCUAACGAGCCAACUAUGUGCUGACGACCUCCAAGUUUUUAUCUCUACCCUCUGAAAUCGGUGUGGAUUUGAAUGGAAUCUCCUUGAAGACUCAGAAAUUGGAGCCAAAGAAAUGCUAGCAAAAGGUGUUAGCUUAUGAAAAUAUUGGCUGAGCUCAGCUCCCUGGUGUGAAAUGCAAAUCCGGGGAAAUUCAAACAUACUGGUGGAUUGCAGCCCGAGCUUCUUUUAUUAAUGGUCACUAAUGGUCUGCAAUCAAGCCACACCUGCUGGCACAAAACGAUUGGCUUGUUUGCUUGAAGUGAGUAUAAUCCAUCAACCUGCUGAUUCUUCAUCUCUCUCAAGGCAUCAGCCAGAAAAAGAGAAGAAAAAAGUCUACUACCUCAUUUCAGUGGGCGUUGUGGAGUUACCAUACUUCUGGAGUCAGACCGUCCUGAGUAUAAAGCCCCAUUUGGUCACUAACUAGCUACAGCCACAGUCAACAGGUCUGUGCCUCAUGUGCCAGGUCGUGAUAAUCACACCUGCCUUUCAGGGUGGAUAGUAAGGAUUCAAGAGGUCAACACCCUCUCAAAGUCUCCCUUAACAGACAUAUGACACAUUUCCAUUCCUGUGCCCUUCUGCUAUUUUCCCGAAAUUCUAUUUGUCUAGCUUACAUCUGAAAGCACACUUGGGCCAUCAUCUCUCCCUCCGUUCACACCUUCAGCCUCAUAGAAGUUUCCCUCUAAACAGAGUAACAGGAUAAGCACGGGCGCUUGGGCUGGUGGUCAGCCGGGUUGCUGCACCUGCUGGUGCCCAGUAGAGACAGAGCGCUAAGCCCAGAGCCGGGUCCUGGAACGUCAGGAAUGGGCAGGAGAAGUACCCCGGUGCUGUGGGAUUGGCAGCCCAGCUCUGCAGCUUGAGGGUGUGGUUACAGUGUGUAUUCAUUGGCUUGACCUGCUGGAGCAAAACACUGCAGACUGGCUUCAACAGAAGAAAUGUAUUUUCACUGCAAGUCCAAGAUUAAAGUGAUGACAAGACUGC